AUUGAACGCUGGCGGCAUGCUUUACACAUGCAAGUCGAACGGUAACAGGCCUUCGGGUGCUGACGAGUGGCGAACGGGUGAGUAAUGCAUCGGAACGUGCCCAGAGGUGGGGGAUAACGCAGCGAAAGCUGUGCUAAUACCGCAUGUGAUCUGAGGAUGAAAGCGGGGGACCAGGCAGCAAUGUUUGGCCUCGCGCCUUUGGAGCGGCCGAUGUCAGAUUAGGUAGUUGGUGGGGUAAAGGCCUACCAAGCCGACGAUCUGUAGCUGGUCUGAGAGGACGACCAGCCCCACUGGGACUGAGACACGGCCCAGACUCCUACGGGAGGCAGCAGUGGGGAAUUUUGGACAAUGGGCGCAAGCCUGAUCCAGCAAUGCCGCGUGCGGGAAGAAGGCCUUCGGGUUGUAAACCGCUUUUGUACGGAACGAAAAGGCUCUGGCUAAUACCUGGGGCUGAUGACGGUACCGUAAGAAUAAGCACCGGCUAACUACGUG
rnacentral:rRNA from 1 species